CCAUUCCUUUCAAUUCGAUGGUGUUUCCAUUCGAUUCCAUUCGAUGUUGAUUCCAUUAGUUUCCAUUGGAUGAUGAUUCCAUUCGAGACCAUUCGAUGAUGAUCACAUUGGAUUGCAUUCCAUAAUUCUACUCGAUUCCAUUUGAUGAUGAUUCCAUCUGUUUCCGUUUGAUGAUUCCAUUCGAUUCCAUUCAAUGAUGAUUCCAUUCGUUUCCAUCUGAUGAUGAUUCCAUUCGAUUCCGUUCAAUGAUUAUUCCAUUCGAGUCCAUUCGAUGAUUCCAUUCGAUUCUAUUCGAUGAUGAUUGCAUUCGAGUCCAUGGAUUAUUCCAUUCCAUUCCAUUAGAUGAUUCCAUUCGAGUCCAUUCGAUGAUUCUCUUCGAUUCCAUUCGCUAAUUCCGUUUGAUUCCGUUUGAUGUUGAUUCCAUUCGAGUCCAUUCAAUGAUAAUUCCAUUCGAUUCUAUGCGAUGAUUCCAUUCCUUUCCAUUUGAAGAUGAUUCCAUUCGAGACCAUUCGAUGAUUGCAUUCAAUUCAUUCGAUGACGAUUCCAUUCAAUUCCUUUCAAUGAUUCCAUUAGAUUCCAUUUGAUGAUGAUUCCAUUCAAAUCCAUUUGAUGAUGAUUCCAUGCGAUUCCAUUAUUUGAUGACUCCUUUCAUUUCCAUUCAAUGAGGUUUCCAUUCGGUUCCAUUUGAUGAUGAUUCCUUUGAAUUCCAUUUGAUGACAAUUCCAUUCAAUACCAAUUGAUGAUUGUUAUUUUUGAUUCCAUUUGAUGAUUACAUUCGAUUCCAUUUAAUCGUGAUUCCAUUCGAUUCCACUCGAUGAUUCCAUUCGAUUCCAUUCAAUGAUGAUUCCAUUCGAGUUCAUUGACUAUUCCAUUCCGUUCCAUUCGAUGAUACCAUUCGAGUCCAUUCGAUGAUUCUACUCGAUUGCAUUCGAUAAUUCCAUUCGAUUGCAUUUGAUAAUUCCAUUUGAUUCCAGUUGAGGAUAAUUCCUUUUGAGUCCAUUCGAUGAUUGUUCCAUUCGAUUCUAUUCGGUGAUUCCAUUCGAUUCCAUUGGAUAAUGAUUCCAUUCAAUACCAUUCGAUGAUUCCAUUCUAUUCCAUUCAAUAAUGAUUCCAUUCGAGUCCAUUCAAUGAUUCCAUUCAAGUCCAUUCGAUGAUUCCAUCUGAUUCCAUUCAAUGAAUCCAUUCGAUUCCAUUAUAUGAUGAUUCCAUUCAUUUCCAUCUGAUGAGGAUUCCUUUCGAUUCCAUUCAAUGAUUCCAUUCGAUUCAAUUUGAUGAUGAUUUCAAUCAAUUUCAUUCGAUGAUUCCAUUCGAAUCCAUUCGGUGAUGAAUCCAUCCAUUUCAAUUUCAUGAUAAUUCCAUUCAUUUCAAUUCGAUGGUGUUUCCAUUCGAUUCCAUUCGAUGUUGAUUCCAUUAGUUUCCAUUGGAUGAUGGUUCCAUUCGAGUCCAUUCAAUGAUGAUCACAUUGGAUUUCAUUCCAUAAUUCUAUUCGAUUCCAUUUGAUGAUGAUUCCAUCUGAUUCCAUUUGAUGAUUCCAUUCGAUUCCAUUCGAUGAUGAUUCCAUUCGUUUCCAUCUGAUGAUGAUUCCAUUCGAUUCCGUUC
rnacentral:lncRNA from 1 species